rnacentral:rRNA from 1 species
CUGAUUUGAAGAGCUUGCUCAGAUAUGACGAUGGACAUUGCAAAGAGUGGCGAACGGGUGAGUAACACGUGGGAAACCUACCUCUUAGCAGGGGAUAACAUUUGGAAACAGAUGCUAAUACCGUAUAACAAUGACAACCGCAUGGUUGUUAUUUAAAAGAUGGUUCUGCUAUCACUAAGAGAUGGUCCCGCGGUGCAUUAGCUAGUUGGUAAGGUAAUGGCUUACCAAGGCGAUGAUGCAUAGCCGAGUUGAGAGACUGAUCGGCCACAAUGGGACUGAGACACGGCCCAUACUCCUACGGGAGGCAGCAGUAGGGAAUCUUCCACAAUGGGCGAAAGCCUGAUGGAGCAACGCCGCGUGUGUGAU